CUUGCGCUGCCUAACAAUGACAGCCGGCAUCACCUUCUUCCUCAGAUCUGGCUUCCCCUUCUUCACAGUAGCCAUCACCAUGUCGCCGACACAUGCAGAUGGGAGGCGAUUGAGGCGCCCCUUGAUCCCCUUGACCGAGAUGAUGUAGAGAUUCUUCGCACCAGUGUUGUCGGCGCAGUUGACCGUCGCCGCCACCGGCAAACCCAGCGACAUCCGGAACUUGUUCCCGGCCGAACCUCCGCGCCCGCGCUUCGACAUCUCGGCAGCCGAUCUGGAG
rnacentral:misc_RNA from 1 species